AGAGCAGGUAAGGUCUGAGCUGCUUAAUGGGGAUACAGCUUCAGUUAAAAGGGGAUUUAAUGAGCCAGGCCUAAUGAGCUCCCUCUUAUAUCCAUUCCUUGUAUUCGAUUUUAAAGGCUUUCGAAGGGCUUGUGUAAUAACCCACACUACCCCAUUUUCCACCUCAAUAUAAAAUAGAGCAGGGCUUUCCUUUCCAUGUGUUCUCACGGUAUCCUCCCAGCCUCACUGGUGGGUAUGUGAAGCCCUGUGAGUCCGUAUGAAAACUACAGGGCUCACAGGGCCUGUGAAGCUCUGGGAGCUUGUAGUUUUCAUAAAGGGCUAUACAAACAAACCUAAUAACCUUGCAUAAUAAAGAAAGAUCUACCAUCUAAACAACAUCUAGUCACGUAGUCCAACUAAUUCUCCCAACCACCAACUACAAAGCAGGUAAGGAAGGAGAGGGAGGUUGCAAA